rnacentral:rRNA from 1 species
UACAGAGGUCUCAAGCGUUGUUCGGAUUCAUUGGGCGUAAAGGGUGCGUAGGCGGCGCGGUAAGUCGGGUGUGAAAUCUCGGAGCUUAACUCCGAAACUGCAUUCGAUACUGGAGAGCUUGAGUCCGGAAGAGGUGAGUGGAACUCCGAGUGUAGAGGUGAAAUUCGUAGAUAUUCGGAAGAACACCAGUGGCGAAGGCGGCUCACUGGUCCGGUACUGACGCUGAUGUGCGAAAGCGUGGGGAGCAAACAGG